rnacentral:lncRNA from 12 species
AGGCGGCGCUGUGUUAAAUCACAAAGGGCUCCCAAGGGGCUCUCCCUCUCCUGGGAGACAGGGUCUUCUGCUGUAGGGGGAGAAGGGGGUAUCAUUGUGGUGGCUUGUUCACCAGCAAGCCACGCUCAGCUCUUCACCUGGGCCAACACCAACGCCUCGCUCUGGCUUCUAAAGUCCUCAGUACACCUGGCCCUGCACCUGAGUGUCACCUGCUUUUCUCUGUCACCUGAGCCUCCGGGACCCUCUCUCUCCUGCCUCAGGCCCUGGACCUGCCUCUUCACUGGCAAAAGGUGGGGAGGUGUGGGGGGUUUGCAACCAGGGUCUUACCCAGAACAGAUGGGAAGGCGGGUGGUCAUUGCCCUUCCCCUUGUGCAGCGCCCCAUGACUCCAUGGCUCCCAAUCCAGGGGACAUUUGUAAAUGCAGCAGGGGGCGGUUCGCAGUGCCCCUGCAGUGCUACCGGCAUUUAGAGUGUGGCGAACCCCAGGUCACGCAGUGUCCUGAACUGACGACCCCCUGACUCAGUCACGCAUGCUCCUGCGAGAAUAUGGAAGGUGAGCCCUGCCCACCUCUCCCAUCCCUCUCACUUGCUGCUUCUCCACGUCUGCCAGGCUGUUGGGGAGGGUGACCGGCCAAGAAUACCCAGUUCAGCUCCUUCGGCCUCACUCUCUCUUUCUGAUCCAUGGAAAGGUUGCCAUUGGAUCUGUGCACCCCCAUAAAGAGCCGAUGAUGCAGGGACGUCCUCCUCCAAGCCAGUCAGGGCUGCCAUUCUGGGGGGUGGGGUGGGGUGGGUAUUUUCAAUUCAGCCAGGAGCAAGUAGAAGCCCACUGCGGCCCCACCCCCAUGCCAAUCCAGCUUUUAUGGGGAUAAAGCUGAGAUGGCGAACUCUCUCUCUCUCUCAUGCAUAGGACCAUCAUCACUCAGCUGGUUCUAGGCUCAGGGGUGGGACAAAGGCCAUGACCAGUGAUCAGUCCUGCAAACCCAGCAGAGGUCCUGUUGGCGAGGGAGCAGGUCUGGGCCCGGACCCAGCAGACCCACCCAACAAAACUAACCCACUGCCUCCCCUAUGCACCCCUCUUCUCGCCAUCGCUCCCUAGAGGUCAGAUUCCUGCAGAGACCGAGGGCACCUUGGGUGUAACCCUGAAGCCACAGGGCAGGGGGCUGGAAAAGACUUCCUCUCCUGAGUCUAACAGUGGGAGUGAGGAUGAUGGGGCUGGAGAGGGGAGAAAAAUCCUACCUUUGCUGGAUCUGAUCAAUGUGAGAAAAUUAUUCUGUCAUUUUUAAAUUGCUUUUGAC